GAGAGUGAAGCGGCAACAGCUCAAAUUUGAAAUCUGGCCUUAGGGGUCCGAAUUGUAAUUUGUAGAGGAUGCUUUGGGCGCGGUGCCUUCCGAGUUCCUUGGAACAGGACGCCUUAGAGGGUGAGAGCCCCGUACGGUUGGACACCAAGCCUAUGUAAAGCUCCUUCGACGAGUCGAGUAGUUUGGGAAUGCUGCUCUAAAUGGGAGGUAAAUUUCUUCUAAAGCUAAAUACCGGCCAGAGACCGAUAGCGCACAAGUAGAGUGAUCGAAAGAUGAAAAGUACUUUGAAAAGAGGGUUAAAUAGCACGUGAAAUUGUUGAAAGGGAAGCAUUUAUGACCAGACCUUUGCUAGGUGGAUCAUCCGGUGUUCUUCACCGGUGCACUUCGCCUAGCUUAGGCCAGCAUCGAUUUCUGUAGGGGGAUAAAGGYCUAGGGAACGUAGCUCUCUACGGAGAGUGUUAUAGCCCUGGGCGUAAUACCCCUACGGGGAUCGAGGUUCGCGCUUCGGCAAGGAUGCUGGCAUAAUGGUCAUCAAUGACCCGUCUUGAAACACGGACCAAGGAGUCGAACAUUUAUGCGAGUGUUUGGGUGUUAAACCCUCACGCGUAAUGAAAGUGAACGGAGGUGAGAGCCCUUAAGGGUGCAUCAUCGACCGAUCCUGAUGUCUUCGGAUGGAUUUGAGUAAGAGCAUAACUGUUCGGACCCGAAAGAUGGUGAACUAUGCGUGGAUAGGGUGAAGCCAGAGGAAACUCUGGUGGAGGCUCGCAGCGGUUCUGACGUGCAAAUCGAUCGUCAAAUCUGCGCAUGGGGGCGAAAGACUUAUCGAACCAUCUAGUAGCUGGUUACCGCCGAAGUU
rnacentral:rRNA from 1 species